rnacentral:rRNA from 1 species
GCGAGACCCGUGCCCACUGUUACCAGCAUGUCCUCCGGGACGAUGGGUACUCUGUGGGGACCGCCGGUGUUAAAUCGGAGGAAGGUGCGGGCUACGGUAGGUCAGUAUGCCCCGAAUCUCCCGGGCUACACGCGGGCUACAAUGGAUGGGACAAUGGGUCCCUACCCUGAAAAGGGUUGGUAAUCUCACAAACCCAUUCUUAGUUCGGAUCGAGGGCUGUAACUCGCCCUCGUGAAGCUGGAAUCCGUAGUAAUCGCGUUUCAAUAUAGCGCGGUGAAUAC